AAUAAAAUGGCUGAGGUUAAGCGAUAAAUUGUAAAUUUAUUUACGAGAAGUUUCUCUUUUAUUA
rnacentral:tRNA from 1 species